GGAGGACCCGGGAUCCCAUCAACCCCAGCAAGACCAGGGCGUCCCUGGGGACCCUAAAACAAGAGGACGGGAAAAGCAUCAGUGAUAGUGCCUCCUGUUAUGGGGAGCCAACUAUCUUCUGAAAACAGAAUACCUGAGCUGAAACGGAGAUUCUGGAUGCAGCUGCUUUCACCACCAGCUUCUGAGAGGAAACAAAACCCUAACCAAGCUCUACAGCCCAUUCGAACCAUAGCGGAGCCCGCCAUGUUAACUGUAAGCCACACUCACCAGAUCACCUGGAUCUCCCCUGGGUCCUGGAGGGCCUGUUGGUCCAGCUGGCCCAGGAAGUCCCUGUAAACAGACCAGUACUUUGCCAAGAACUAACAAACAUGGCUAUGUUGCAAUAUAAACUUUACUUGAACAAUAAAUGUUUUUGAUUCUCCAAGUGCUUAAAAAACUUUUGUAAAACUCUCCUGCUCAGCUAGUUUACGAUAGUGCACCGAUUUCCUCAUAAUCUGUGCAAGGGCACCUCAAUGAAUUUAAGUUUAAUGUUUAUGUAUUUCUGGAAUUCAAUUUAAAAAGUGAUGUAUUAUAAAGAUUCAUUACACAAAUAGCUAAACAUUUCAAGCACUUAUAUCUAAUGAUUUUGUCCUUCAACUCACAAAAAAAGCUAUUUCUCAGAGCACUACAGUGUUGCAUAAGACAAAUAAAAUAUAAAGGUCUCACUAAGCCACACCUCAACCACAGACAAUGACAGAAACACCUUAUCUGCGUUUGUUGCUCAGUUGUCGACAAUUCCAGUAAAAUUUUAAGUAAAAUGUUGAAUUUAAUUUGUAAAUGAAAGUCCCAGAGUCUAGAAGAAGAGUGGAGAUACACAAAAUACAAGUGAGUUGAGGUGUUCAGUGUGACAUUUCCACAGUCUGUGAUUAUUUGUGGAGCCAUGCACUCUGCCGGUGUUGGUCCACUACAUUUUAUUAAGCCCAAUGUCAGCACAGAUGUCCAACAGAAAAAUUUAGAGCACUUCAUGCCUCCCUCUAUUGAAAUUGUUUGAAAUAAAUCUCUAUGUGCAAAAAGUAUAUAUAAUAAGUUUAUGUUUUUAUAAAAUAUUUGAACUUUUUAAUUCAACUAAUUAAUUAAAUUCAGGAGCUGAAUUGCUAUUUUUAUAGCAAUAAUUCACAACAAAUUAUUGUCUUGGAGGACAAUAAUUGGGAUAAUUUCAGUUCAAUGUCACAUACAUUCCAAUUGAUCCUACCUAUAAGUUGAUAGGUAGGAUCCAAUCACAGCUGAUUAAAAUCAGCUGUGAUUUUAAUGUAAUUCAUUAUUCAAAUCAGUUUAAAAAGUGUUAAAGAAACUCAACAGACUGCAUCGAUUCAUUGACUUGCUGUAUUCCUUCCUCCUUAAUGAUUAAUUUUUUUAAUGCAUUUUCAUGCAAAACAUUUUUGAUUUGUCAUUAAGUUAUAAUCCUUUUGAUGCAGUUGUUUAAUAUCUGUG